rnacentral:rRNA from 1 species
AUUGAACGCUGGCGGCAUGCCUUACACAUGCAAGUCGAACGGUAACGCGGGGCAGCCUGGCGACGAGUGGCGAACGGGUGAGUAAUGCAUCGGAACGUGCCCAGUAGUGGGGGAUAGCUCGGCGAAAGCCGGAUUAAUACCGCAUACGACCUACGGGUGAAAGCGGGGGACCGUAAGGCCUCGCGCUAUUGGAGCGGCCGAUGUCAGAUCAGGUUGUGGGUGGGGUAAAGGCCUACCAAGCCGACGAUCUGUAGCUGGUCUGAGAGUGCGACCAGCCACACUGGGACUGAGACACGGCCCAGACUCCUACGGGAGGCAGCAGUGGGGAAUUUUGGACACUGGGGGCAACCCUGAUCCAGCCAUGCCGCGUGCGGGAAGAAGGCCUUCGGGUUGUAAACCGCUUUUGUCAGGGAAGAAACGCUUCGAGCUAAUACCUCGAGGUAAUGACGGUACCUGAAGAAUAAGCACCGGCUAACUACGUGCCAGCCGCCGCAGUAAAAC